rnacentral:rRNA from 1 species
UACGGAGGGGGCAAGCGUUGUUCGGAAUUACUGGGCGUAAAGGGCGCGCAGGCGGCUGCUCAAGUCAGGCGUGAAAGGCCUGGGCUCAACCCGGGAAUUGCGCUUGAGACUGGGCUGGCUUGAGUGCGGGAGAGGAUGGUGGAAUUCCCAGUGUAGAGGUGAAAUUCGUAGAUAUUGGGAAGAACACCGAUGGCGAAGGCAGCCAUCUGGACCGGCACUGACGCUGAGGCGCGAAAGCGUGGGGAGCAAACAGG